ACACAAGAAGAAUUGGCCCUUGACCAGCCUGAUUGGUUGCAGGAGGGGACCAAUCAGAGGUACCUCCCAUUUUUCAUCUGCAGCCCAAUGCAAAGCUGUAUUGAGGUAUAAUUGAUAUGCCAAAUAACUGGACACAUUCAACUUGUGCAAUUUGAUGAGUUUGGAGAUACACAUACAUCUGUGAAACCAUCACCAAAAUCAAGAUGCUGGUGCCUGCAGUGGAGGCUGCUUGAAAUACAUCUGGUCCAGUCACAGCCUUGAUUGGGGCCAGUGCCUGUGCCAGCACCUGGAGCUGCCUGCCCCACCACAGCAGCCAGCGUGCCUGGCUGUGCACAGAGGCCAGACCUGUGCUCACUCACUCACACGCCCCUCACCACUCUGUGCCUGGCUCACCCUUGGCAGGCAUGGGAUCUCGGCCAGUAGCACGAGCCAAGCACAGCCUGCUGGGCCAAGUGGGUAAAACGAGCCCAGUGGGUGCGAGCAAGACUCAAGCAGAGGCACCACCAGCCGCCGAGGCACCACCAGCCACAGAGGUUUCUGGCUGGUGAAGCAACACCUGAAGAAUCCUAUGGCAUUUUCCUGACUUUGAAAUUUACCCACUUAGUCAAGAAAAUAUGAAGCUAUUCAUUCCCUUUACUUGUCUAGCAGAAUAUUUCCACAUAGAAGAUUUUAGUCUUUGUCAUCAAGACUGCGUAACAUUUAACACUCCACCACAUCAAAAUGCUACUUACACAUACAUAAUAAACACUCAGAGAGGAAUGCUGCCUCAGACAUCAUCUUUUCUUCACUCUGUCUAAAGCAUGAAUGUCCUUAGAUGUUCAUUCAAAAUUAGUGCCAGGGAGUGCUAUUUGGCAAGGCCACUUAGAA
rnacentral:lncRNA from 1 species